AUUCUAAAAGCAAUGCCAUGGACGGUACACUUACCGAAUCAGCAGUUAGUGACUUAAACAUUAAAUAACGUGUGAAUUUGGGACACAGCCUGAGGUUGUGAGGUUGUUAGUUCUGGCUGCGCAGGCGCAGUCGGUGGACGGUCAGUAGUAAGGUGCGGAUGUAAACGGCGAUGCCGCCAUCUAGUGUUUAAUUUCGGUAAAACACGUCGCAGAUUUGAGGUAAUUUCUGUUAAUCUGUUUAAACCACUUUUCUGAGCCAAAAACUAUGGCAAAAAGACCCAGAGCGUUUUCAUCCAGCGGUCAGGAGAGCCCGAGGUUCGGCGAGGCCUCGCCGGAGGUUCUGUCAGACUUUCUGUCCGACCUGAACAACUCCAACAAAUCCCGCCUGCAGAACAUCUCCAGCCUCUGCGGGAACUUUAAACAGGGGAAGGUAGUGGAACACGCAUUUCUCAUCUGUGAGGAGCUGGGACUGGACGCUUCUGUUGGUUAUCACGCUGUUGAAAUACUGGACAGGUUUAUGGUGCAGCAUAUUGAGAAUUUUAUUAUUAGCCAGAGAAGUGAAGCUGGUGAAGGCCCCUCCUGCAGAGCCAAAAAACACAAUGAAGAUCUGAUCUAUCAGAGUCUCCGUGGGAAAUUCCAGAUCUUUCUCCUAUCAAGCGUGCAGAUAGCCAGCAAACUGGCCUUACAUUCCAGUGCCGUUCACAACGACUCUGCUUCGAGAUACCUGCAGUCACUGGGCAGCAGCUGUCCCGAAGAAAAGCUUCUGGAGACAGAACUUCUCAUCCUGAAAACUCUGGACUUCCAGCUGAACAUGCCGAACCCUCUGCUGUAUGUAGAGACUCUUCUGGAAGUUCUGGCCCACAAUGUGCCAACUAUGCCUGUUGCACAGCUGCAUCACCUGUGCAGGUAUGUGCUUCAGUUUAUCUACCUGAAGAGAGGACCAGUCUAUCAGUCCCUUCUUGUGGCUGCUACAGGAUGUCUCAACCCUUCUCCAGAACAAAGGGAAAAGUUUGUGUCAGUGACUGAGGACUGCAUGCUGUUGGGGGUUGGAGUGAUCACUGUAUCUGCAUACAUCUACCAGACGUCUGUUUGGGAGAAGGUGGUGGAGGAGCUCACUCUGAUCACUGGCAUCUCAGCAAGGAGCAUCAUAGACUUUGCUCAUGUUACUCUGAUGCACAUCACCAAGAACAGAGCGCCAUAACUGCUGGCUGAAAGAGUUUGCUGUCUGUAAUCAUAUGGAUGCUCUCUUAUUCUGACGUCACAACAAGCAAACCUGCAUUGAACCACCCUGGCACCACCCCUCACCCAUCAACCCUCACCAGAGCCCCACCCACUAGAUCAGUUGAUGAAACACCAAUUUGAUCAUUUUGUUUGAGACCCUCACACAGAGCAUUACACAGCAGGAUUAGCCAGCAGACUUCGUCUGAGUGAGGGAUCUGUAUCUACUAUUCGUGGCAAGUCAGAAGAUAAAGGAGAUGUAAGGACGUAAAUAAAAGUGGAAUCGACGUUCCAGCCUCCCACUGAGAAACAGCGAUGUGCUCAGAUAUUGCAGUUUGUUCCAUGGCAACAAUAGCAGGAGGACAGCUCCGGUGGUUUGCAGCUCUCAGUGAUGUCCUGCUCUGAUAUGGACCGUCUUCAGUUAUCAUAUGGACGCUCUGCGGCCUGGAGGAGGAGGACAAUGUACAGUAAAUGACUUGGGCUGGAGUAAAGGCAUAGUCACAACCUACCCGAGUGGCCAGAUGUUUAGUCUGUGAACGAGGUUUCAUGAGCUACUCACUCUUAAUUGAUCUCUACAUGCUCCGCCCAUAAAUUUGUUCUUAUAUAGGUUUUAGUUUAUAUUGCUGCUGAUUUAUAGAAGGUUUAUAGAAUGGUGGUAAAAAUCCCAUUUAAUCAGGGCGGGCUGUUUUUAAUGUAUAAAUGGGACUAAGCUCAUCCUUUCUCUUUUAUUUGACUUUUUUAAAGUUAAUAAAUGACUGGAUUAUUUUAUUA